GACGAACGCUGGCGGCGUGCCUAAUACAUGCAAGUAGAACGCACAGUUUAUACCGUAGCUUGCUACACCAUAAACUGUGAGUUGCGAACGGGUGAGUAACGCGUAGGUAACCUGCCUGGUAGCGGGGGAUAACUAUUGGAAACGAUAGCUAAUACCGCAUAAUAUUAAUUAUUGCAUGAUAAUUGAUUGAAAGAUGCAAUUGCAUCACUACCAGAUGGACCUGCGUUGUAUUAGCUAGUAGGUGAGGUAACGGCUCACCUAGGCGACGAUACAUAGCCGACCGGAGAGGGUGAUUGGCCACACUGGGACUGAGACACGGCCCAGACUCCUACGGGAGGGAGCAGUAGGGAAUCGUCGGCAAUGGACGAAAGUCUGACCGAGCAACGCCGCGGGAGGGAAGAAGGGUUUCGGAUCGUAAAGCUCGGUUGUAAGAGAAGAACGGGUGUGAGAGUGGAAAGUUCACACUGUGACGGUAUCUUACCAGAAAGGGACGGCUAACUACGUG
rnacentral:rRNA from 1 species